UGCAAGGCGAGGGCCGGGCGGGCGCCGAGGAAUCUGCAAUGCCUGCUCGACCCCCACCCAUCCUGUUGCUCCCGCAGCUGCUCCCACCACCACGCCCGCUCCGCCUCCCCCCACUCAGGUGCCCAGCGCGUUGUCCCCGUCUGUGCGCCCAGAGACUUGUGUGCUCUCCAAGGGCGGCAAAGCGCACACAAGGUGGCUGGAUCUCACCUGCGAUGUCUACAUCUGGGCGCCCUUGGCCGGCACCUGCGCUGUCCUUCUGCUGUCCCUGGUCCUCGCUGUCAUCUUCCUCCGCAGGAACAGACGUCGCGUUUGCAAAUGUCCUAGGCCUCAAGUCAGACCUGGAGGCAAGCCCAGCCCUUCAGGGAAAUUCGUCUAACAUGGCACUCAGCCUGUGUGACAGCCACUACAUGCCUUCAUACUGAGAUGGUCCCUUGGAGAGCAAGUGCUUCUCUUUUGGGUUUUCCAGUCUUCCUUCCCAUGUACUCAUUCUUAUUAUUAUUUUAGUGGGGGGUGGGGUGGGAAGAGUUACUUUUUCUUCAUGCUAUUUACUUUGACAAAAAACAAAACCAUUGAGUGUCUACAGUUCACUGCAAGAGUCACAGUACUGUUGCACAUACUGGAGGGUAGAGGUAAGAAGCCAGGUUCUCAGAUGCUGGAAUUCACUCUUCCACCCACUUGUGUGGCAGUGGCACCCUAUGGCCAUCCCUCCCUAAUCACUCUCCUCUACCCACUUGGGCUCAGGUGCCACCCUAAGAGCAUUCUAUAUAAACUCAGAUCAAAGCACAUGCAACCCCUUUCAAAAGUCUGAUGCAUCAGCCCCGCCUGCAGUUCCUUUUCUGUUGUCCAUUUCUGUCUGUCACCUUCAAUAAACACAGCUGCUUUUCCCUCACCACUGAAUGUCCACUUUGCAAUUCUUUGCUUGCUAUACACAAGAGCUUGGAAUCCAUUGGGUCCACCACACUGUUACACUGUGGUGGAGCUGGAGGCAGCCUCAGUGGCCUUUGGUCUAAACCUUUUCCCUGCCCAACCAGAGGAGGCUGAAGCCCAGAGAUGGGAGCAACUUGGCCAGUAAUAGCAAUGGAGGGUUGGAGGUUGGAGUCCUUGCCUGCCAGCCCUAGGCUCUUUCCUUCACACCAUCUGGGACUCUCUUUCCAGGAGCCAGGGGCUCAAAGUAAGGUGUUUGUGACUCAAACCAUUAUUGGGUCUCAGGCCCAAGGAGGUAAUGAAAUGAAGACAAGACAUUGCCUUGACAGGUUCUACAAUGUUAAUAACACCAGACCUUUCUAUAAUGAAGCAUACAAUUGGAUAGCCUCUGUACCAGCUGAAACCAAGACACUUUUACAGAACUAUCUUGUGUUAGGGAAAGCAGAAGAGAAAGCUGAGAAAUUAUAAUGGUACAAAUUCCUACAAUAAAGUGAAGAGGUGAACUCAAUCCUGGAAAAUGAAUCCCUCUGUCUCUAAAGAAAAUCGCUGUGAAAUUCCUAUGAGGCUAAAGUGCUCUCCCAGCCCUUGCACAGCAGAGGGUGAAACUUUUCAAGAUGAUUUCAGCAUCAGUAAGUUGAGCAGAGGUCCUCCUGAAUCUCCAAAUCUGAGAUACUGGUUUGGAACAUACUUGUGGGAUCACUGAUGACAAUUUAUACUUGAAGACAAUCAUUGGGAGUGCUGCCAGAAAAUUUCUGGCCUCCCCCACCUUCAGCAGAUGUGAGGAUGAGGGAGAAGAGGCUGGUGGGGAGCCUGAGACCCAAACUGUUGCCCAUGUGAGUGUUUUCUGUCAUAGUAUUACACAAGCACCGAGAGAGAGACCUAGGUAAAGUAAUACAAAUGUUCCAUAAUUCUUACUCCAUAGUUAAUAUUAUGGUGUAACUUUUUUUCUAUGCAUGUAUGUAAAAUAUCUACCUUGUUUUUUAAUAGUAUGCUGUUACAAGUGGCUUUAGUAAAUAAACUUUAUGGCAUCCCUUUUUUUAGUCAUUAAGUUUAUUGGCACAUUUUAGGUGUACAAUACGACAUUCAUCAUUGGGAAUUUGUACCUUUACAUGACAUAUCUUGGUUAUUU
rnacentral:lncRNA from 1 species